GCUGGGCAUGGUGGCGGACGCCUGUGAUCCCAACUACUCAGGAGGCUGAGGCAGGAGAAUUGCUUGAACCCAGGAGGCGAAGGUUGCAGUGAGC
rnacentral:miRNA from 1 species